UACAGAGGGUGCAAGCGUUAAUCGGAAUUACUGGGCGUAAAGCGUGCGCAGGCGGUUUUGUAAGCCAGAUGUGAAAUCCCCGGGCUUAACCUGGGAAUGGCAUUUGGGACUGCAAGGCUGGAGUGUGGCAGAGGAGACUGGAAUUCCUGGUGUAGCAGUGAAAUGCGUAGAUAUCAGGAGGAACACCGAUGGCGAAGGCAGGUCUCUGGGCUGACACUGACGCUCAUGCACGAAAGCGUGGGGAGCAACAGG
rnacentral:rRNA from 1 species